rnacentral:rRNA from 1 species
UACGUAGGGGGCUAGCGUUGUCCGGAAUCAUUGGGCGUAAAGCGCGCGUAGGCGGCCAGAUAAGUCCGGUGUGAAAGUCAAAGGCUCAACCUGGGAAUUGCAGUCGAUACUGAUGAGCUCGAGUUCGGUAGAGGGUGACGGAAUUCCCGGUGUAGCGGUGAGAUGCGUAGAUAUCGGGAGGAACAUCGAUGGCGAAGGCAAUCACCUGGGCCUGAACUGACACUGUGACACGAAAGCGUGGGUAGCAAACAGG